UAAUACAUGCAAGUCGAACGCGUCUUGGUUAUUGAUGUUAGAUGCUUGCAUUUAACUGAUUUAACAUUGAGACGAGUGGCGAACUGGUGAGUAACACGUGGGUAACCUGCCCUUGAAGUAGGGGAUAACACUUGGAAACAGGUGCUAAUACCGUAUAACAACCAAAACCACCUGGUUUUGGUUUAAAAGAUGGCUUCGGCUAUCACUUUAGGAUGGACCCGCGGCGUAUUAGCUUGUUGGUAAGGUAACGGCCUACCAAGGCAAUGAUACGUAGCCGACCUGAGAGGGUAAUCGGCCACAUUGGGACUGAGACACGGCCCAAACUCCUACGGGAGGCAGCAGUAGGGAAUCUUCCACAAUGGACGAAAGUCUGAUGGAGCAACGCCGCGUGAGUGAUGAAGGGUUUCGGCUCGUAAAACUCUGUUGUUGGAGAAGAACAGGUGUGAGAGUAACUGUUCACAUCUUGACGGUAUCCAACCA
rnacentral:rRNA from 2 species